AUUGAACGCUGGCGGCAUGCCUUACACAUGCAAGUCGAACGGCAGCAUGAUCUAGCUUGCUAGAUUGAUGGCGAGUGGCGAACGGGUGAGUAAUACAUCGGAACGUGCCCUGUAGUGGGGGAUAACUAGUCGAAAGAUUAGCUAAUACCGCAUACGACCUGAGGGUGAAAGUGGGGGACCGCAAGGCCUCAUGCUAUAGGAGCGUCCGAUGUCUGAUUAGCUAGUUGGUGAGGUAAAGGCUCACCAAGGCGACGAUCAGUAGCUGGUCUGAGAGGACGAUCAGCCACACUGGGACUGAGACACGGCCCAGACUCCUACGGGAGGCAGCAGUGGGGAAUUUUGGACAAUGGGCGAAAGCCUGAUCCAGCAAUGCCGCGUGUGUGAAGAAGGCCUUCGGGUUGUAAAGCACUUUUGUCCGGAAAGAAAUGGCUCUGGUUAAUACCUGGGGUCGAUGACGGUACCGGAAGAAUAAGGACCGGCUAACUACGUG
rnacentral:rRNA from 1 species